rnacentral:rRNA from 1 species
GAUGAACGCUGGCGGCGUGCCUAAUACAUGCAAGUCGAGCGAACAGAUAAGGAGCUUGCUCCUUUGACGUUAGCGGCGGACGGGUGAGUAACACGUGGGUAACCUACCUAUAAGACUGGAAUAACUCCGGGAAACCGGGGCUAAUGCCGGAUAACAUGUUGAACCGCAUGGUUCUACAGUGAAAGGCGGCUUUGCUGUCACUUAUAGAUGGACCCGCGCCGUAUUAGCUAGUUGGUGAGGUAACGGCUCACCAAGGCAACGAUACGUAGCCGACCUGAGAGGGUGAUCGGCCACACUGGAACUGAGACACGGUCCAGACUCCUACGGGAGGCAGCAGUAGGGAAUCUUCCGCAAUGGGCGAAAGCCUGACGGAGCAACGCCGCGUGAGUGAUGAAGGCCUUCGGAUCGUAAAACUCUGUUAUUAGGGAAGAACAAAUGCGUAAGUAACUGUGCGCGUCUUGACGGUACCUAAUCAGAAAGCCACGGCUAACUACGUG